UCGAUUCCCUUAGUAGCGGCGAGCGAAACGGGAAGAGCCCAAACCAACAAGCUUGCUUGUUGGGGUUGUAGGACACUCUAUACGGAGUUACAAAGGACGACAUUAGACGAAUCAUCUGGAAAGAUGAAUCAAAGAAGGUAAUAAUCCUGUAGUCGAAAAUGUUGUCUCUCUUGAGUGGAUCCUGAGUACGACGGAGCACGUGAAAUUCCGUCGGAAUCUGGGAGGACCAUCUCCUAAGGCUAAAUACUCUCUAGUGACCGAUAGUGAACCAGUACCGUGAGGGAAAGGUGAAAAGCACCCCGGAAGGGGAGUGAAAUAGAACCUGAAACCGUGUGCUUACAAGUAGUCAGAGCCCGUUAAUGGGUGAUGGCGUGCCUUUUGUAGAAUGAACCGGCGAGUUACGAUUUGAUGCAAGGUUAAGCAGUAAAUGUGGAGCCGUAGCGAAAGCGAGUCUGAAUAGGGCGUUUAGUAUUUGGUCGUAGACCCGAAACCAGGUGAUCUACCCUUGGUCAGGUUGAAGUUCAGGUAACACUGAAUGGAGGACCGAACCGACUUACGUUGAAAAGUGAGCGGAUGAACUGAGGGUAGCGGAGAAAUUCCAAUCGAACCUGGAGAUAGCUGGUUCUCUCCGAAAUAGCUUUAGGGCUAGCCUCAAGUGAUGAUUAUUGGAGGU
rnacentral:rRNA from 1 species